rnacentral:rRNA from 1 species
ACGAACCGAGCGAACGUUGUUCGGAAUCACUGGGCUUAAAGGGCGCGUAGGCGGAUUUGCAAGUCCGUGGUGAAAUCCCACAGCUCAACUGUGGAACUGCCUCGGAUACUGUGAGUCUCGAGGGUGGUAGGGGUAUGCGGAACUAUCGGUGGAGCGGUGAAAUGCGUUGAUAUCGAUAGGAACUCCGGUGGCGAAGGCGGCAUACUGGACCACUUCUGACGCUGAGGCGCGAAAGCCAGGGGAGCAAACGGGA